rnacentral:rRNA from 1 species
GAAAUAAUAGUACCGAAGUUCCUGAUGUCACACUGCCGAGAAAAGCUUCUAGUGAGAAAACAGCGGCCCGUACCGCAAACCGACACAGGUAGUCGAGGAGAGAAUCCUAAGGUGAGCGAGAGAACUCUCGUUAAGGAACUCGGCAAAAUGACCCCGUAACUUCGGGAGAAGGGGUGCUGAUCAUACGAUCAGCCGCAGUGAAUAGGCCCAAGCGACUGUUUAUCAAAAACACAGGUCUCUGCAAAAUCGUAAGAUGAAGUAUAGGGGCUGACGCCUGCCCGGUGCUGGAAGGUUAAGAGGAGUGCUUAGCGCAAGCGAAGGUACGAAUUGAAGCCCCAGUAAACGGCGGCCGUAACUAUAACGGUCCUAAGGUAGCGAAAUUCCUUGUCGGGUAAGUUCCGACCCGCACGAAAGGCGUAACGAUUUGGGCACUGUCUCAACGAGAGACUCGGUGAAAUUUUAGUACCUGUGAAGAUGCAGGUUACCCGCGACAGGACGGAAAGACCCCAUGGAGCUUUACUGUAGUUUGAUAUUGAGUGUCUGUACCGCAUGUACAGGAUAGGUAGGAGCCGUAGAAAUCGGAACGCUAGUUUCGAUGGAGGCGCUGGUGGGAUACUACCCCUG